AAGCCUGAUAUGCUACGCCACCUGAAGGAUAGCUGGGCUCGGGCGCUGAAGAAGGGCGUGACAAGCUGCGAUAAGCCCCGGGUAGGCGCAUGUAGCCUUAGAUCCGGGGAUGCCCGAAUGGGACUUCCUACCGCGAGUUCUUCGGAACCCGUGGUGCUCCGAGCAGGAGCGGGAAUCCCCCGAACGGAAACAUCUUAGUAGGGGGAAGAAGAGAAACUAAACAGGAUUCCCUUAGUAGCGGCGAGUGAAAGGGGAACAGUUCAAACCGAAUCCCACAGGGAAACCUAUGGGAGAUGUAGGGUUAUGGAUCCGACCUCCUCCCAGCCAAUUAAGCUGAAGUGGCCUGGAAAGGCCUGCCUCAGAAGGUGAUAGCCCUGUAAGCGUAAAUUGGCGGGAGCUGGGUCGGCGUCCAGAGUACCAAGCCUUGAUUUUGGUUUGGGAAGUUGGAAGCCACUGACUUCCAAAACUAAAUACGUCCCGAGACCGAUAGCGUACUAGUACAGUGAUGGAAAGCUGAAAAGUACCCCGAGAGGGGGGUCAAAAGAGCUUGAAAUCAGGUGGUUAUAGACGUGCGUGGCCUGAAAGGAUAGAUCCCUCCAGAAGGAAACCCUGGCAACGGGGGAGUACGAUGGAGGGGGACCAAGGUUGCGCGUUCAGUCUUGAAACACUGACCGGGGAGUUCAUGGUCAUGGCGAGCUUAAGGGCUUGAAGCCCGUAGGCGCAGGGAAACCAACAAGCCCGCAGCUAGCUUUUGCCUAGUGAGGGGCGAGAUUUUAACGGGUCUGGAGUCAUGGCCAUGUGACUAGAAACCAGGCGAUCUAUCCCUGGGCAGGGUGAAGCCGAGCGAAAGCUUGGUGGAGGCCCGAAGGGGUGUUGACGUGCAAAUCGCUCCUCUGACCUAGGGUUAGGGGCUAAAGACCAAUCUAGCCUGGUGAUAGCUAGUUCCCCCCGAAGUAGGUCGCAGCCUAGUCUCGAGCGAGGCGGCCGGCAGGGUAGAGCACUGAUCGGGUAGUAAGGGUUCGAAAGAACCCGCUACUCUCUCAAACUCCGAAUCUGUCGGUGCCGUAGACCUCGGGAAACGGGUACUGUGGGGUAAGCUCACAGGCCGAGAGGGAAGCAACCCAGACCAGGGUUAAGGUCCCAAAAUGCUGGCUAAGUGUCAGACUAAAGGGCGUCCCCAGCCCCAGACAGCGGGGAGAUAGGCUUAGAAGCUGCCAUUCUUUAAAGAGUGCGUAACAGCUCACCCUCCGAGGCUGAGGGCCCCGAAAAUAGACGGGGCUAAGCCAGCUACCGAGACCUUGGGGUGCAGUCGUAGAGACUGCAAUCCGGUAGGGGGGCGUCACGGUUGGACAGAAGCUGGGCCGUGAGGUCCAGUGGACCGACCGCGAUUGCAUAUCCCGGUGGUAGUAACAGCAUAGUCAGGUGAGAAUCCUGACCGCCGUAUGGGCUCAGGGUUUCCCGGCAAUGCGUCGUCAGCCGGGAGUUAGUCGGUCCUAAGGCCGAUCUUAACCGAGGAGGCCGAAAGGGAAACCGGUUAAAAUUCCGGUACCACGGAGAUACAUGUGGUGACACAAGCUCAGCACCUGACGCUUCUGGAUAGGCUGAGCAGGGCCAUCGCCUUGUUUAACCGCUCAAGCCUGGGGAGACCGUAAUGGUGAGAACCAGGUGAAGGUGGGAAUAGCCUCCCGUGUUUAGGGGGGUUCAACCGAUUCCUGGAGCCAGUGAAAAGGGUGUUGAGAAGAAUUCUCCGUGCCCGUACCCAGAACCGACACAGGUGUCUCUGGGUGAGAAGCCCAAGGCGUAUCGGGUUGAACCCGUGGUUAGGGAAAUCGGCAAAUUAGCUCCGUAUCUUUGGGAUAAGGAGUGCCUGCGGUUUUGGUCUACGACUGGAACCGUAGGUCGCAGUGACAAGGGGGUCCCGACUGUUUAAUAAAAACACAGGGAGCUGCUAGCUCGAAAGAGUUUGUACAGCUCUUGAAUCCUGGCCAGUGGUGGUACCUGAAGCCUGGGUACAACCGGGUGAAGGGCCACUAAACGCCGGGAGUAACUCUGACUCUCUUAAGGUAGCCAAAUGCCUUGUCGGGUAAGUUCCGACGUGCAUGAAUGGACCAACGAGGACCCCGCUGUCCCAACCCGGGGCCCGGUGAACCCACGUAACUCGGACGAACAGUCCGGGGAUUCCCAGCGGGAAAAGAAGACCCCGUGGAGUUUUACUGCAACCUGUCGCUGGGAUGUGUCUACUGAUGCGUAGUGUAAGCGGGAGCUUCUGAUCCCGGAUCCUUCGGGAUCCGGGGGAGGCGACAAUGAAACACCGCUCUUCGGUGGUUACAUUUCUAACCAGGGCAAAAGCCCUGAGACAACGAUUGGCGGGCAGUUUGGCUGGGGCGGCACCCCCUUGAAAAAGUAUCGAGGGGGCCCAAUGGUCGGCUCAGGCGGGACAGAAACCCGCCGUAGAGGGCAAAGCCAAAAGCCGGCCUGACUGGAUCCUCCACAGCAAGGGAUUCAGAGGCGAAAGCCGGGCUUAGCGAUCCUUCGUAUCCCCGUCAGUGGGGGUCGGAGGCGACAGAAAAAUUACCCCGGGGAUAACAGGCUCGUCGCGGGCGAGAGCUCCUAUCGACCCCGCGGCUUGGUACCUCGAUGUCGGCUCUUCCCAUCCUGGCGGUGCAGCAGCUGCCAAGGGUAAGCCUGUUCGGCUAUUAAAGGGGAACGUGAGCUGGGUUUAGACCGUCGUGAGACAGGUCGGUUUUUAUCUGCUGGGAAUGCUGGGCGCCUGAGGGGAAGGUGUCCCCAGUACGAGAGGAACGGGGCGUCGUAGCCUACGGUGUACCGGUUGUCCGAUAGGGCACUGCCGGGCAGCUACGCUAUCCCGAAUAAGGGCUGAAAGCAUCUAAGCCCGAAGUCGGUCCCGAAAAUAGGCGCCCAUUCUGCGACGUUGGAGCUUGGCAACAGGUUCCUGGUCGCAGACGAGGGCUGGAACAGAAGAUUCCGUUGAUGGAGUGGAGGUGUAAGCCUGGAGGCUUAGGUCGACAGGUUCAGCCUGCCACCCCCAAUCGCCCAAGGUAUCGGGCUG
rnacentral:rRNA from 1 species